GCGGGUGUGCCAGAGUGGUCAAAUGGGCAACGUUAAGGCCGUUGUAGCUUAGUGCUUACCUAGGUUCAAAUCCUAGCACCCGCA
rnacentral:tRNA from 1 species